rnacentral:rRNA from 1 species
CAGCCGCCACGGUAAUACAGAGGGUGCAAGCGUUAAUCGGAAUUACUGGGCGUAAAGCGCGCGUAGGUGGUUUGUUAAGUUGGAUGUGAAAUCCCCGGGCUCAACCUGGGAACUGCAUCCAAAACUGGCAAGCUAGAGUAUGGUAGAGGGUGGUGGAAUUUCCUGUGUAGCGGUGAAAUGCGUAGAUAUAGGAAGGAACACCAGUGGCGAAGGCGACCACCUGGACUGAUACUGACACUGAGGUGCGAAAGCGUGGGGAGCAAACAGGAUUAGAUACCCGCGUAGUCCCUGUCUCUUAUCC